rnacentral:lncRNA from 1 species
ACCCCGGCAGCUUGACGGGGAUCCCGCAUUCCAAGCCGAGAACACCGCAGGCAGGCGGCGGCGCGGGGGGAGGAGGCGGCCCAUUAUCCGGCGUCGUUAAAGAGCAAUUAGAUGGAAAUUAAGCCGAGAACAAGUAUUGAUUAUCUCAUUAAGGCCGGGGGAGCCCGCUCUGUCGGUGCGAGUUUAGCGCCGCUCACUCCAUUAUCUGCAAGGUGAAAGCCUGCGGUCAUCAAAACCCAGUCUGUGGGCUCCCAGUCCUCCAGCACUCAAGUCCACUCCUCCUCCACCAUAGUGGGACCUCUUCGUAACCCAGUCCUCCCAAAGCCGUCUUCCUCACCUCACCGCAGUCCUGGCCCAAACUGCCCGGGGACGGGCCCACCCAGGGGGUCCCGGCCGGGCCGCUCCUCCGCCCUCCCAUGGGACCCGCUGCGUCCUAGAGCCCCAGCUUGUCUUCGAGCUUCGCUGCCUCCCGCUCGCUGUCUGCCUCGCUCCCGCCUUCCUCCCUUCUCCCUCCUCCAGCCGCAUCAGAAAUAUAUUGUAGUAUUCUCACCUAAUCCUGUUCAAUUACAGCAUAAUAAAACACAUAAUAAAAACCUAAUUCAUUUUUCUCCCGCGCCUCCCAUCUCCCGGCAUCUUCUAGCUCGGGAUUAAAAAUUUGUCUUCAUGUUUGUGGCACCGCAAUCCCGGCGCCUCCGCAUCUUUAAUGUAUGAGCCGGGGAGCUAGAGAUCCGCGGAUUCUGCGGUCUUCGCGCCGGGAAGGCGCCUGCC